ACGGAAGGCAGCAGUGGGGGAUAUUGCACAAUGGAGGAAACUCUGAUGUAGCAACGCCGCGUGAAGGAAGAAGGCCUUCGGGUUGUAAACUUCUGUCCUUGGUGACGAUAAUGACGGUAGCCAAGGAGGAAGCCACGGCUAACUACGUGCCAGCAGCCGCGGUAAUACGUAGGUGGCAAGCGUUGUCCGGAAUUACUGGGUGUAAAGGGUGCGUAGGCGGCUCAUAAAGUCAGAUGUGAAAUACCGAGGCUUAACCUCGGAGCUGCAUUUGAAACUUAUGGGCUUGAGUGAAGUAGAGGUAAGCGGAAUUCCUAGUGUAGCGGUGAAAUGCGUAGAUAUUAGGAGGAACACCAGUGGCGAAGGCGGCUUACUGGGCUUUAACUGACGCUGAGGCACGAAAGCAUGGGUAGCAAACAGGAUUAGAUACCCUGGUA
rnacentral:rRNA from 1 species